rnacentral:tRNA from 3 species
GCCGAAGUGGUGGAAUUGGUAGACACGCUAGGUUCAGGGUCUAGUCCUGGCAACGGGGUGGGAGUUCGAGUCUCCCCUUCGGCACCA